rnacentral:rRNA from 1 species
CCUACGGGUGGCAGCAGUGAGGAAUAUUGGUCAAUGGGCGAGAGCCUGAACCAGCCAAUUCGCGUGAGGGAAGACGGUCCUAUGGAUUGUAAACCUCUUUUGCCGGGGAGCAAAAAGCGGUACGCGUACCGCAUCGAGAGUACCCGGAGAAAAAGCAUCGGCUAACUCCGUGCCAGCAGCCGCGGUAAUACGGAGGAUGCGAGCGUUAUCCGGAUUUAUUGGGUUUAAAGGGUGCGUAGGCGGAGUGUCAAGUCAGCGGUAAAAUUUCGGGGCUCAACCCCGUCGUGCCGUUGAAACUGACACCCUUGAGUGAGUGAGAAGUAAGCGGAAUGCGUGGUGUAGCGGUGAAAUGCAUAGAUAUCACGCAGAACGCCGAUUGCGAAGGCAGCUUACCGGCGCUCAACUGACGCUGAGGCACGAAAGUGCGGGUAUCGAACAGGAUUAGAUACCCCUGUAGUC